UACAGAGGUCCCAAGCGUUGUUCGGAUUCAUUGGGCGUAAAGGGUGCGUAGGCGGUGGGGUAAGUUGGAUGUGAAAUCUUGGGGCUUAACCUCAAAAUUGCAUUCAAUACUGCUCCGCUCGAGUUCUGUAGAGGAGAUUGGAAUUUACGGUGUAGCAGUGAAAUGCGUAGAUAUCGUAAGGAACGCCAGUGGCGAAAGCGAAUCUCUGGGCAGCAACUGACGCUGAGGAGCGAAAGCGUGGGGGAGCGAACAGG
rnacentral:rRNA from 1 species